rnacentral:rRNA from 1 species
UACGUAGGCGGAAAAUUAAGUCAGUGGUGAAAACCUGCAGCUUAACUGUAGAACUGCCAUUGAUACUGUUAGUCUUGAGUACGGUCAAGGUAGGCGGAAUGUGUAAUGUAGCGGUGAAAUGCUUAGAUAUUACACAGAACACCGAUUGCGAAGGCAGCUUACUGGGCCAUUACUGACGCUGAGGCACGAAAGCGUGGGGAGCGAACAGGAUUAGAUACCCUGGUAGUCC